UACGUAGGGUGCGAGCGUUGUCCGGAAUUAUUGGGCGUAAAGGGCUCGUAGGCGGUCUGUCACGUCGGGAGUGAAAACACGGGGCUUAACCCCGUGCCUGCUUCCGAUACGGGCAGACUAGAGGUAUGCAGGGGAGAACGGAAUUCCUGGUGUAGCGGUGAAAUGCGCAGAUAUCAGGAGGAGCACCUGUGGUGUAGACAGCUUACUGGACCAUUUCUGACGCUGAGACACGAAAGCGUGGGUAGCAAACAGG
rnacentral:rRNA from 1 species